CCUAGGGGUGGCUGCAGUGGGGAAUAUUGCACAAUGGAGGGAACUCUGAUGCAGCGACGCCGCGUGAGUGAAGAAGUAAUUCGUUAUGUAAAGCUCUAUCAGCAGGGAAGAAAGUGACGGUACCUGAAAAAGACUCUCCGGCUAAAUACGUGCCAGCCGCCGCGGUACUACGUAUGGAGCAAGCGUUAUCCGGAUUUACUGGGUGUAAAGGGGGAGUAGGUGGCAGAGCAAGUCCGAAGUGAAAACCCAAAGCUCAACUAUGGGAAUGCUUUUGAAACUGCUCAGCUAGAGUGCAGGAGAGGCAGGUGGAAUUCUUGGUGUAGCGGUGAAAUGCGUAGAUAUUAGGAGGAACACCAGUGGCGAAGGCAGCUUGCUGGACUGUAACUGACGCUGAGGCUCGAAAGCGUGGGGAGCAAACAGGAUUAGAUACCCUGGUAGUC
rnacentral:rRNA from 1 species